rnacentral:lncRNA from 1 species
GUAACUAAGAAGGAAGCACUCAGGCCAAAGAGAGGGCAACCACAGGCUGCCUGUUGCGGCUGCCAUUCUGAGCACGGGAUAGCUUCAUGACCCUUUUCAUUGCUGGCUCUCUCCGAUGCAGACCAUCCCACAGUGGCCUGCCGCCUCAGAAACAGCCUCACAGACACCGUGUGCGUGUUUCCAUGGUGAUUCUAGGCCCCAUCAGGCUAGGCUGGCCGUGAGGUUCACCACAGCAAGGAGGUGCGACGGAUAUUCCAGAGUUGACUUAAGGCAUAUGAGGGGAGUUCAUAGUGUACACGCAACCACCAGGAGGCCUCUUUACCCCAAAGUCGUCGGAAUGUUCUGGGUCCUGGAAUCAGGACCUACGAUCGAUUCUGAGGGACAGCUAUCCAUGAAAAAGAAUUUUCCUCCCACCCCAUCUCAACAGCUACAUCCCUGUCCCAAGCACAGGUGAUGCUAUUAACCAUCAAGUG